rnacentral:rRNA from 1 species
UUAAGCAUAUUAAUUAGGGGAGGAAAAGAAACUAACAAGGAUUUUCUUAGUAGCGGCGAGCGAAAAGAAAUCAGUUCAGCACUAAGUCACUUUGUCUAUAUGGCAAAUGUGAGAUGCAGUGUAUGGAGCGUCAAUAUUCUAGUAUGAGAAAUUAACGAUUUAAGUCCUUCUUAAAUGAGGCCAUUUACCCAUAGAGGGUGCCAGGCCCGUAUAACGUUAAUGAUUACUAGAUGAUGUUUCCAAAGAGUCGUGUUGCUUGAUAGUGCAGCACUAAGUGGGUGGUAAACUCCAUCUAAAACUAAAUAUAACCAUGAGACCGAUAGUAAACAAGUACCGUGAGGGAAAGUUGAAAAGAACUCUGAAUAGAGAGUUAAAUAGUACGUGAAACUGCUUAGAGGUUAAGCCCGAUGAACCUGAAUAUCCGUUAUGGAAAAUUCAUCAUUAAAGUUAUAAUAUUUAAACAAUAUUAUACAAAUAAUGUGCAUUUUUUCCAUAUAAGGACAUUGUAAUCUAUUAACAUAUUAAAUUUAUCAUAAAAUAUGGCUUAUAGUUUAUUCAAAUUAUUAUGCUUGCAUUUUAACAUAGAAUAAAUGUCAUUAAUUUGAUAAAGUGUUGAUAGACUAAUAAGAAUACAGUGCGUUAAUUUUUCGGAAUUAUAUAAUGGCAUAAUUAUCAUUGAUUUUUGUGUUUAUUAUAAGCACUUGUAUGAUUAACAAUGCGAAAGAUUCAGGAUACCUUCGGGACCCGUCUUGAAACACGGACCAAGGAGUCUAACAUAUGUGCAAGUUAUUGGGAUAUAAACCUAAUAGCGUAAUUAACUUGACUAAUAAUGGGAUUAGUUUUUUAACUAUUUUAUAGCUAAUUAACACAAUCCCGGGGCGUUCUAUAUAGUUAUGUAUAAUAAUAUUUAUAUUAUUUAUGCCUCUAACUGGAACGUACCUUGAGCAGAUAUGCUGUGACCCGAAAGAUGGUGAACUAUACUUGAUCAGGUUGAAGUCAGGGGAAACCCUGAUGGAAGACCGAAACAGUUCUGACGUGCAAAUCGAUUGUCAGAAUUGAGUAUAGGGGCGAAAGACCAAUCGAACCAUCUAGUAGCUGGUUCCUUCCGAAGUUUCCCUCAGGAUAGCUGGUGCAUUUUAAUGUUAUAUAAAAUAAUCUUAUCUGGUAAAGCGAAUGAUUAGAGGCCUUAGGGUCGAAACGAUCUUAACCUAUUCUCAAACUUUAAAUGGGUAAGAACCUUAACUUUCUUGAUAUGAAGUUUAAGGUUAUGAUAUAUUGUGCCCAGUGGGCCACUUUUGGUAAGCAGAACUGGCGCUGUGGGAUGAACCAAACGUAAUGUUACGGUGCCCAAAUUAACAACUCAUGCAGAAACCAUGAAAGGCGUUGGUUGCUUAAAACAGCAGGACGGUGAUCAUGGAAGUCGAAAUCCGCUAAGGAGUGUGUAACAACUCACCUGCCGAAGCAACUAGCCCUUAAAAUGGAUGGCGCUUAAGUUGUAUACCUAUACAUUACCGCUAAAGUAGAUGAUUUAUAUUACUUGUAAUAUAAAUUUUGAAACUUUAGUGAGUAGGAAGGUACAAUGGUAUGCGUAGAAGUGUUUGGCGUAAGCCUGCAUGGAGCUGCUAUUGGUACAGAUCUUGGUGGUAGUAGCAAAUAAUCGAAUGAGACCUUGGAGGACUGAAGUGGAGAAGGGUUUCGUGUGAACAGUGGUUGAUCACGAGUUAGUCGGUCCUAAGUUCAAGGCGAAAGCCGAAAAUUUUCAAGUAAAAAUAAAAUUUACUAUAUGUAAAAAUUAUAUACUUGAAUAAUUUUGAACGAAAGGGAAUACGGUUCCAAUUCCGUAACCUGUUGAGUAUCCGUUUGUUAUUAAAUAUGGGCCUCGUGCUCAUCCUGGCAACAGGAACGACCAUAAAGAAGCCGUCGAGAGAUAUCGGAAGAGUUUUCUUUUCUGUUUUAUAGUCGUACUACCAUGGAAGUCUUUCGCAGAGAGAUAUGGUAGAUGGGCUAGAAGAGCAUGACAUAUACUGUUGUGUCGAUAUUUUCUCCUCGGACCUUGAAAAUUUAUGGUGGGGAUACGCAAACUUCUCAACAGGCCGUACCAAUAUCCGCAGCUGGUCUCCAAGGUGAAGAGUCUCUAGUCGAUAGAAUAAUGUAGGUAAGGGAAGUCGGCAAAUUAGAUCCGUAACUUCGGGAUAAGGAUUGGCUCUGAAGAUUGAGAUAGUCGGGCUUGAUUGGGAAACAAUAAUAUGGUUUAUGUGCUCGUUCUGGGUAAAUAGAGUUUCGAUCAUUUAUGGUUGUAACUUGUUCCCCGGAUAGUUAGUUACGUAUCCAAUUGUGGAACUUUCUUGCUAAAAUUUUUAAGAAUACUAGUUGGGUCAAACCAAUUAGUUCUUAUUAAUUAUAACGAUUAUCAAUUAACAAUCAAUUCAGAACUGGCACGGACUUGGGGAAUCCGACUGUCUAAUUAAAACAAAGCAUUGUGAUGGCCCUAGCGGGUGUUGACACAAUGUGAUUUCUGCCCAGUGCUCUGAAUGUCAAAGUGAAGAAAUUCAAGUAAGCGCGGGUCAACGGCGGGAGUAACUAUGACUCUCUUAAGGUAGCCAAA